rnacentral:rRNA from 1 species
UACGUAGGGGGCAAGCGUUGUCCGGAUUUAUUGGGCGUAAAGAGCUCGUAGGUGGUUCGGUAAGUCGGGUGUGAAAUUUCGGAGCUUAACUCCGAAACUGCAUUCGAUACUGCCGUGCUUGAGGACUGGAGAGGAGACUGGAAUUUACGGUGUAGCGGUGAAAUGCGUAGAUAUCGUAAGGAAGACCAGUGGCGAAGGCGGGUCUCUGGACAGUUCCUGACGCUGAGGCACGAAGGUCAGGGGAGCAAACGGG